rnacentral:rRNA from 1 species
UACGUAGGGUGCAAGCGUUGUCCGGAAUUAUUGGGCGUAAAGAGCUCGUAGGCGGUUUGUCGCGUCGGAUGUGAAAUCCCAGGGCUUAACCCUGGGCCUGCAUUCGAUACGGGCAGACUAGAGUUCGGUAGGGGAGACUGGAAUUCCUGGUGUAGCGGUGAAAUGCGCAGAUAUCAGGAGGAACACCGGUGGCGAAGGCGGGUCUCUGGGCAGUAACUGACGCUGAGGAGCGAAAGCGUGGGGAGCGAACAGG